rnacentral:rRNA from 1 species
UAGGGAAUCUUCCACAAUGGACGCAAGUCUGAUGGAGCAACGCCGCGUGAGUGAAGAAGGUUUUCGGAUCGUAAAGCUCUGUUGUUGGUGAAGAAGGAUAGAGGCAGUAACUGGUCUUUAUUUGACGGUAAUCAACCAGAAAGUCACGGCUAACUACGUGCCAGCAGCCGCGGUAAUACGUAGGUGGCAAGCGUUGUCCGGAUUUAUUGGGCGUAAAGCGAGAGCAGGCGGAAUGAUAAGUCUGAUGUGAAAGCCCACGGCUCAACCGUGGAACUGCAUCGGAAACUGUCAUUCUUGAGUGCAGAAGAGGAGAGUGGAAUUCCAUGUGUAGCGGUGGAAUGCGUAGAUAUAUGGAAGAACACCAGUGGCGAAGGCGGCUCUCUGGUCUGCAACUGACGCUGAGGCUCGAAAGCAUGGGUAGCGAACAGG